UUAUUUUAUUUGUUGUGGCUCGGCGCCCUAUCGCCCUCUAUUGACCAGCCGCCACUGUUGUAAGCACUGACUGAGUUCUGUCAUGAGAGACGUUAUCACGGACACGUAUUUACCCUUUUCAGCAGAAAGGUUGGCUUUUGGAAAAGCACAUUUGACUUCGGACUGCGUGGGGAAGUGCGCAACAUUGAAGUUGCGUAGUUGUGCCCUCGUGCUCGAAUUAUGUUGACAGUUUUCACAACCGAGUUCAUCACAUCGCCCAGCUGGACUGUCUUAGCACAGAGGGCUUCUUGGUGGGUGAUACGCUGCAUUUUAAUAGCCUCACCUCCGCUCUCUUGCGCUCGCCUUUCAUAGCUGGAGCCCUCUCUGUUAUAACUCCACACAGCUUGUCCCAUCUUGUCAAUUGCAUCCGACACAGCUUCAAACAUGUCCUUACCUGUUGUUUUGCUCUUAAGGCUACAUCCAUACUACUCCGUUUCUACUUGGAAGCAGAGUUGUCAAAUAGAAACGAUCUCCGUCCACACGGGAGUUUCAGCAUCAUCAAAUUUUCCCUUAACCUGUGUUAAUAUCUUAACAUCUACCAGAUGGAUUGGCACAAUAUUUGGCACAGACAUUCAUUCUUCCCAGAUAAUGAUGAUGAUUCCUUACUAACUCGAGCCUUGACUUUUCAUCUAGUGCCGUCAUGAGGUUCACAUUUGUGGUCUUGAGUAAAAUGUCUCUCCAGCUACUUGAUGGAUUGCCAUGAAAUUUGGAUCAGACAUUUAUGUCUCCCUCAGGAUGAAUUGUAAAUACUUGGGUGACCCCUUUUCAUAUAGUGCCAUCAGGUCGAAAUUAAAUGUUCAAAAUACUUUGGUUUAUGACCAAAUACCUGCAGAGCUAAUCAUAUUACCAUCGGCCUCAAAUUUGUAUUGAGUGCUGAUUAGCAAAUGUUAGCAUGCUUAAAUGAUAAACUAAGGUAGUUAACAAGAUAAACAUUACCUACCAAACAUAUUAGCAUGCUGAGGUUAGCAUUUAGUUCAAAUCACCGUUGUGCCUAAGUACAGCCUAAGAGAUGCUGUUGAUGUUUUGGGAACCCAUAAUACUUUUAUCAGAGUUGCAAUGUUGACAUGAAUCAAGAUACGCUAACGAAGCAAACACUAGAGCCACACCAGUCACAUAAAUAACUCUUCAUGUUUUCACAAAUGUAACACUCAGUUCCCUUGUGCUUUAUUAGGUAAACUGUAUAAAGAGGACAUUUGACAGAUGAGAAGUGGGUGAGUCACAUGGGGGAGGUCAAAGACCAGCUUUGAAAACCUUCUGCAGUGAAUACAUCAUCAAUAUUCCCUCACACAUUAAAUAUGUAUUCAGAAAGGAUGCAUCCCAGUUGUUCUGCUCUUGACAAAUACUCUGCGAGAAUCUGAUGGCUCCUGAAAUUCCAUCAGAAACUUAAGACCACCCCCACUCUACUGGGCCUCAGAUUAUAAAGGUAAGUCAUUAUUUAUUUGAACUCAGCCAAGGAUAGAGCCCUCGAUUCCACACUAUCAUAAAGCGCUUAGGGGAAAGGUGAUGAUCAUAGGAAAAUGCGGGCUCACAGAAGGAGUUUGUCUGGCUAAAUCAAUGACUGGCAGCCUUGAUGGAUGAGAGUUGGAGGUACAACUCCAAAUGCAUUUUAUCCUUUCAUCUGUUUGCAUGUAUAUCAUGGUAUUGGAGGUAUUAAUGUUGGUGGAACAACCAUCAGGAAUGUCCACAUGAUUAUCUAAAACACUGGAGAUGUUCCUGGGUCUCCCUCCAAUCCUCUAACUCCACCAGCUGCUUGGCUCUAGAGAUUGAUAGAUGGAGGAUGGAAAGGAAGUGGUGAUAUAGAGACUUUGGUUUAAGGGUGCUUUGAUGGGGGAUGGAGGGAAGAGUCCCCUCUGCUGUUUCUGUUGCAGUUGCUUUCUGUCAGGACGGCCAUUUCUUUCUCCAUAUAGAGCUGAAGGUGUCAGAGGAGGCAAAUGGAGGUGGUUAUUACUCUUCAGAGGGGCAUCACAGAGCAUACGUCAAACUCUCACUCACACGCUGAGAGGAGAUGACACUUCUGACAGUCAAUUAUAGUCGGCCCGUUUCUCCUCUCCAGCACUGUGGCCUCCUCUGAUCUCCCACUGCUCCGCUCCUCUGCUGCUGUUUUUGGGAGAGUUCGGCAUCAGCACAUUUUGAAUCAGGAGGCAAGGCAACAAAGACUGGUGGACACUUUAAGUGUUCCUCCAUAAGGCACUGUAAGCACAUCAUUAUCAGAAUGUGGCUUCCUAAAAACACAAUUUGAAUUAAACGCAUUAUGACAAACAAACUCCUCUCAUACCUGAAAGCAAAAUAGUUGCAAAUUCCAUACUUAAAUGUAUUUAUAUAACAACUCGAAAGCUCAUGAGAUUUUUUACAGGUGACAGUUACGGAGUGCAAAAGGUUAUUGAGUUAGAUAUAACUUUAAAAUGGUAUCCCGGGCUGCUGUACUGUAGCAUUAUAAUAAGCUCUGAUACCUACAAAUGUUAGACAGAUAAGUGAACUCAAUGAACCCACCCACGCAGCGCCUCUCACACACAACCUUGUACUUCUAUCUUUGUGAGGACCCUCAUUGACAAAAUGCAUUCCCUAGCCCCUUAACCAUCACAAUACAAUAUCCUUACCUAAUCCUUACCUAACCCUAACCUAAACUUCGUUUUAACUUAAAUCUUGAAACCAUGUCUGAAUCCCCAAACAGGCCUUUGAAGGUCUGUCCCAAAGUGAGAACCUUCCAAAAUGUCCUCACUUUCCAAAGAUGUCAUCGCUUUGUAAGUCUAAAACUCAAACUGAUUCCACUUGGACCUGUGGCUGUCUCUGUAGCUUCCAUCCCCACUUUUGAUCUCAAUGGCAGCAUAUUAGUUGAGUAACAAGGCCAGCCAAGAGGGACUUCAGGAGGUUGGUUUUACAGUGUAUCUCCCACAUAUUCUCUCCUUUCAGUCAACAAAAGAUGUAAGGCGAUUAAACCAUUGAUGUUGUAGUGCGUCCGAGGAGGGCUUCUCCUCUGAAAGGAUUGGAAGAGCGCCGUUUGUCUACCCACCACUAUCUUAAAUUCAUGGCACGUAGCCCUGCGUAUGAUAUGCACUCUAUGAACCCAGCACUGUCUUAAACCUUAAUAUUGUUAAUUGGCAUGCACACUUAAUGGAACUUCCCUUAUUAGGGUGCAACAUGGUGUCCAAACAGGAAGUAGAGGGAUUCAUGGUGGGAGCGGGGGGGUUCUACUCGAGAGUUGUUGAGGAGAACCUCUAAAUGAAAGAUGCAAGGUUGAAGAUCCAGGAGCAACGGAGGACACUGCAGAGCAAGCAGCCUCUAUUUGUGCUUGUUGCUAGGAUACUUUGGCCUUUUAUUCAGUAUUAUGGGGUGUGCUUCACACCCCAUAAUUCUCUACACCGUGGCGCCUCCUUUAGCUUUGCGCCUUUCUACUGUAGAUCUCUCACCCUAUUUUUGAUCCAUUUCCUCUGUCAAGUUGUAUUCUUUUUGAUCGAGAGACUUCUAAACAAGUUCAAUCUUGUCUCAGAGGAAUGCAUCUAGAUCCAGGAAUUUCCUUGGUGGCUUUAACUCUGUGCUCCCUCAGGGACAAAUGAAGAUUGUAUACCUGAAGAGUCUUCUUGUAGUCAGCCCGUGCACUAUAAAACAAACAGCAAAUGAAAAAGUAGGAAGAGGGAGCCUGUCGCCAUGUGCUUGGUAAUUCUACAGCCUCAUGCCACAUAUGGUGCACUAUUUAUGUGUGGAACAAUGCGAGCGGUUUAUGUUAAUAGUUGACUGUUGAAUGAGAGAAUCCUAAAAAUAGUAUGAAAGCUGAACUGAUUCCUGUCGAUAUCCUAUUUACCACAGUCGUGGCCGUGCGGUUCACCCAACGGUGGAACGGCUGACUGAGGUUUUCGAGGAACCACAUCAGUGGCCUUCAGCAGAUGACUGAGGAGAAGGGGAAUCUGAAAAAAUGUGGAAGAGGGAGAGAUGGGAUUAGGAGAAAUGUAUGAUGGUUGGGAGUUAUGGAGGGUUUUGGGAGAAGAUUUAAGGAGGGAAGAAACAAGAUCACAUGAGAGUGAGAACGAAGGUGAAAGAAGCAUAGAUGAGGUAAACAGAAGGAGCAAAAAGGAAGACGGCACUCAUACCAGCUGCAGCGGAAGGUUAGGGGGAUAAAAAAACAACUCAGAAAAGGCCAGAAAUAUCACUGCACACUCCUGAGCAAUGAAUUAAGAUUUGCCACCGACUUUUCAUACUUUCUAUUUUCAGAGAAGUAAAUAUUUCAACAGAGGCAUCCGGUUUAUCUCUACUCAAACAGCUGCUAUCGCUGUGCUUUACAUUUUGACUUUUUACUCUCCAAGUGAAAUUGUAAUUGUUUUCCCCACAAGCCUUGUGACUACACAAAUAAUUUAUUGAAGGAUUGUAAAGGAGUCUUUUUACUUUAAUAAUUGACACUUAUCUAUCAAAUACUCAAAACCAGAGAACUAAAAGUUUUCUUGGAAUUAAUCUUCUCAGUGCUGACAGUUUGGGUCUACUUUUUACAUGAUAGAUUGUAAUAGUAGAACACAGGCACACAUACCAUACAUCCCCUUCCAACAUUGCAGUCAGCAGAACCAAUCCAACUAACGCAUCUCUAUCAAAUCUCUGAGGCUGUGCUUUCAUACACCUUCAUUUGACCGUUAAAUGUGUUUCACAAUGAUUCAACUUUGAGUGUUUCCAACUGAUUAGAUGUGUUGCAAAACUGACUCAUUCAUAGUUUUGCUAUGACUUAUGGUUUUUCGUUUGAUGUAUUGAAUGUGAGAUUAGGAUUAUUGCAAGGCUGUAGAGGUUAAUAGCUCUAGGGUGGGACGUUGCCUUGCCUUUGAAUUUCUGGGGAAUUUUAUUGCGUCGGAGCUGCCCUGUUGCUGAACUGCCUCAUGGGAGUCCACAUGUGAAAGAGGAAAAUGUUUUUACUCUGCAAAUAACAUGACAUCAUCUACACGUGUCAGUGUUGUAGCAGUAUUGUAAGAGUAAAGUUUGUCAUGCAUAAAUGAGGCCAAAUUGUGGGCUAGUGAAGCAGAUGAAUAUCAGUAUAUGCCACUGCAUCUUUCCUUUGGUCACUGUGCUGGCAUCAAACACAUGCAACAAAAUCAAAAAGCCAUCCAUCUCUACCUGAUUUGAUGCUGCACCGGGUGGCAGGAAGCUGAGACCUUUCCCAGCACACACAUUGGGUGAAAGGCGGUGAAAACCUGGACAGGUUGCCACAGUGCUGACAGACAGGCUGGUGACUGUAAACCAGCCUAACGUGUGUCUAUUGAAUGUGGGAGUUUAAAACAAUGAAGGAAGUAGAAUUUUCAGGCAAGAGAAGCAAGAGAUUGACGUCGAGGACAAAGAGCUAGCAUAUGUUCCUGUUUGCUAAUCUGGAGAUUUUACAUUAACUGAUUAGAGGUCUGAUAAACCAUUUGUAAAGAGGCUCACAAAGGCUUGGUUAGUUAGCAUUGAUGUAGUUUCUGGCAAGCCUUCCUCUCAUAACAUUUCACAAUCAUUUUUAUGAAGCCAUAUAUAUAUUUUAGUGUUGGUAUUGUUUAAAAUCUCCAGGGAGUGUAUGAACAGCCUUCAUCCAUGGCUGUUUCUGUUGGUGAUUAACUGUCACCGUGGGUCUGUUAGUGACUUCCAUUGAGUGGUUGACCACCUGGUCACCACCGGCUUGCUCUGAUCUGUGUCACUCCCAGCUAAUGUGAGCUGACACAGCAGCUCCCAGAGGACAGCUGGCUCCGCAGCAGACAAUGGAGGCCGAGCAGCGUCUGACCCGGCUAAAGGUAGUCUUGCUGUUGCAGCUGACUCAUCUGCUGCCUUUUCAGUGUGGCUGUAAAGGUCACUGAUGUAAUGGAGGUGUGCUGGGUGACUUUUAGGAGACAAACGGCUUCACAGAAAAGGACACAAAAAUGAACAGUAAAAAAAAAAAAGUGUACAUUUUUGAGCAUUGGCCACUCCCAGCGUCCCUGUCUUUUAAACUAUUCAUCCAUUAGCCAAUAAUAACAUAUUUAUUCUCCUACAUUUCAGUGGCUUUGGAAUCCAGUGGCAGAAUAUCAGCUUCAGCCACAGCUGUACUUUCCUUAUCACAAACAUUCUUAUUUUGUAGUUUGGGAACACGUGUUUCAUUUAGUUUAUGAGACACAGACUCUAAAAACAUUCCAACGGGAGCUGUUGGAUUGAUGAGACGGGCAGAGGAUGAUACACACCAAAGCGCCUGUUUAACCACCCUGCUGUGUAAAUGAUAGCCAUGCAUCAUGAAGUGAGAAAGCGUGACAUAACGACCAGAUGAUGGGGUGUCAGGGAGGUCCUGUAUAAUGAAAUUACUGCUUGAUGAGGUGUGUGUGUGUGUGUGUGUUACACUAAUAAACCUAAUGGCUAUAAAGUCAGAGAUGGGUUUAGGCCUAUUAAAAGGAUGGAGUACUUUUAGUGUUGCAAUGUUAGUUAUGGAAUCGGGACCCUUACAACAGCAGCAUGUAUAUUGACAUGUACAACUCUCCCUAUGUACUGCGCCACUGGAUAUAUACAACGCAUAAUCCACAUAAACCAACAUCCUAUCAAAUGUUUUUAUUUUAAACUGCUUUGAGAGCAGCAGCAGCAGUAAUAAAUGUCAUUAUUGCCCCGAGGGUGAAAAAAGGGUUGAUCUGUGUAACAACGCUGCUUGAUGAAGCCAUUCAUUAGCUUCAAUUAAAUGUUUACUUGUGUGAUUAAUCCCUAUCAGGAUUGGAGCUGUUAAGUUGAGUUGUUUUAUUGAUCGUAUACUUUGUGGAGCUCUCACACAUUCAUAGGGCCAUCGGAAAUCUGUUUACGUUUCCAUAAUUCUUCCAGAUUACGUUAGUUUUUCCAAAACUCUGUGUUUAUCGUUUACAUUUUUCUGAGUUUUGUGUAUUACGAUUUAAGCACAUUUUGUC